rnacentral:rRNA from 1 species
GACAAACCGGAGGAAGGUGGGGAUGACGUCAAGUCAUCAUGGCCCUUACGGCCUGGGCUACACACAUGCUACAAUGGUCGGUACAAAGGGUUGCCAAGCCGCGAGGUGGAGCUAAUCCCAUAAAACCGAUCGUAGUCCGGAUCGCAGUCUGCAACUCGACUGCGUGAAGUCGGAAUCGCUAGUAAUCGUGAAUCAGAAUGUCACGGUGAAUACGUUCUCGGGCCUU